UGGGGAAUAUUGCACAAUGGGGGAAACCCUGAUGCAGCAAUGCCGCGUGAGUGAUGACGGCCUUCGGGUUGUAAAGCUCUGUCUUCGGGGACGAUAAUGACGGUACUCGAGGAGGAAGCCACGGCUAACUACGUGCCAGCAGACGCGGUAAUACGUAGGUGGCAAGCGUUGUCCGGAUUUACUGGGCGUAAAGGGAGCGUAGGCGGAUUUUUAAGUGAGAUGUGAAAUACCCGGGCUUAACUUGGGUGCUGCAUUUCAAACUGGAAGUCUAGAGUGCAGGAGAGGAGAAGGGAAUUCCUAGUGUAGCGGUGAAAUGCGUAGAGAUUAGGAAGAACAUCAGUGGCGAAGGCGCUCCUCUGGACUGUAACUGACGCUGAGACUCGAAAGCGUGGGGAGCAAACA
rnacentral:rRNA from 1 species